AGUUUGUGCUCUAAGAAGAGCUGAUGUGCAGCACUGUGGACUGGCUGCUGGCACAGAAAUACAGAGCCGAGUCCGCUGCCUCGGUGGAGUUGAUUUCCAGGCUGCAGGGUGGGUUUCUGUUAGUUCCUACCCUCCUACGACACCACUGAUUUCCUGAGCUGGGUCCAUGGUGAGUUUGUGUUCGAAGAAGAGCUGACGUGCAGCACUGUGGAGUGGCUGCUGGCACAGAAAUACAGAGCUGAGUCCGCUGCCUCGGUGGAGUUGAUUUCCAGGCUGCAGGGCCACUAGUGUUUUCUGUAGGAGAAAGCAAUGGCACCCCACUCCAGUACUCUUG